rnacentral:rRNA from 1 species
GGCUCAGGAUGAACGCUGGCGGUAUGCUUAACACAUGCAAGUCGAACGGGAUGCUUAGGCAUCUAGUGGCGGACGGGUGAGUAACGCGUGAGAAUCUGGCUCCAGGUCGGGGAUAACAGUUGGAAACGACUGCUAAUACCGGAUGUGCCGAGAGGUGAAAGAUUUAUUGCCUGGAGAUGAGCUCGCGUCUGAUUAGCUAGUUGGUGGUGUAAGGGACCACCAAGGCGUCGAUCAGUAGCUGGUCUGAGAGGAUGAUCAGCCACACUGGGACUGAGACACGGCCCAGACUCCUACGGGAGGCAGCAGUGGGGAAUUUUCCGCAAUGGGCGAAAGCCUGACGGAGCAAUACCGCGUGAGGGAGGAAGGCUCUUGGGUCGUAAACCUCUUUUCUCAAGGAAGAAGAAAGUGACGGUACUUGAGGAAUAAGCAUCGGCUAACUCCGUGCCAGCAGCCGCGGUAAUACGGAGGAUGCAAGCGUUAUCCGGAAUGAUUGGGCGUAAAGGGUCUGCAGGUGGAACUGAAAGUCUGCUGUUAAAGAGUUUGGCUUAACCAAAUAAAAGCGGUGGAAACUACAGAACUAGAGUGCGGUAGGGGCAAAAGGAAUUCCUGGUGUAGCGGUGAAAUGCGUAGAUAUCAGGAAGAACACCGGUGGCGAAAGCGUUUUGCUAGACCGUAACUGACACUGAGGGACGAAAGCUAGGGGAGCGAAUGGGAUUAGAUACCCCACUAGUCCUAGCCGUAAACGAUGGAUACUAGGCGUGGCUUGUAUCGACCCGAGCC